rnacentral:rRNA from 1 species
UACGUAGGGUGCAAGCGUUGUCCGGAAUUAUUGGGCGUAAAGAGCUCGUAGGCGGUCUGUUGCGUCGGCUGUGAAAACCCGGGGCUCGACCCCGGGCCUGCAGCCGAUACGGGCAGACUAGAGUUCGGCAGGGGAGACUGGAAUUCCUGGUGUAGCGGUGAAAUGCGCAGAUAUCAGGAGGAACACCGGUGGCGAAGGCGGGUCUCUGGGCCGAUACUGACGCUGAGGAGCGAAAGCGUGGGGAGCGAACAGG